rnacentral:lncRNA from 1 species
GGCAGCACAUCGCAUCUUUCCUAAGCAUGGACUAUCUUAUAUUUACUUAGUGAUCAUGAAGAACAGUUGUAUAAACAUCAUACUUAAAAUCACAGAAAUUAAAUAUGAUUUAAAAGAAGAUAUCCAUUAAAAACAAUAAGUUCAUACAACCCCAAGAAUAUAAAAUAAAAUAUAAAACCCAUGUCCCUGUGUUAGGGCUGCAUCCAGCCCUAGAGAGGAGAUCAGCCUUCCAUGGAGUCGUGGGCGACAGCAGCAGUGGCACAGCAGCGGGCUCCCAUUUCUUCUUUUCUUCCUCCCUUCCCUGGUCUCUCCUUCCUUCUCUAGCAAUUUAUUAUUUUUUUCUUUUGGGAAGUCAUUCCCAAAAAGACCCAAAGUAUUCUCUCCCUCCUCUGUUUCCUGUGGGACUUCCACCCGAGAAGAGAUGAUCCGAAGAAGAGAAGACUCCUCCUUUUAUAGCUUCACCUGAAUGGGAGGAUAAGGUUGAUUGAGCUGAUCCUCCGUUGGGAAGAUAAGCUCAUGGAAGCUUGAUCUUCGGAUGCGGCUGGGACGCGGAGCAAAGAUUUGAACUGAUCCUAAGCAGGGGAGCAGCUUGAACGUGGUGGAUAGGCUGGGAUUUGGCUGGCCACGGGAUACGAAUGGAUCACGAACGGCAUGAAGGGGAGAUGAACUCGAUCGCAGGUGAUUCGGAAGAUUUACUGGCGUGAUCCGGAGAGGAGGUUGAGAGGAUAAACUUGGGAAAAUGGUUGAGAUCUGUUCGUGGACGUGAUCCGGAGGAGGCAGGCUUGCUUCAGUUGGGAAGGAGUGGUUGUGGAUGACGGAAUGGCUGGGAUUCUGGUGGAAGAAGAUGGGAUCCGAACGGGAGAAAAUCUGGGAAAGAUCCGGGUGAAGAUGAGGAUCCGUGAUCCAUUCUAGAGUAAAUCUGAAUGGGAUAUGAGGAAGAAAUUUGGGAUUAAUCCGGCAGAAGGUUGGCUUGAUUUGCGAACGGGAUAAGGAUGCAGGGGAUGUUUGGAUCUCGGCUGAUAACAGGGAGAUGAAGCUCGAUCGCAGAUGAUUGAGGAUGAAGCCGAAUCGUUGCAGAUGCUGGGAGGAAAACAGAACGACGGAGCUUGAUUUGCGGAAGCGGAACAGUUGGGAUAAUGUUCUCGAACGGAAGGAGAUGGGAUGCUCAUCCGGCUGGGAGCAGAUUGGCUCGAUUCGGGAGAAGAAAUCUGGAAGGGAGAAUCUUAGAUUUCUGUUAAUAUGGAUGCUGGAAUCAAUCUAGAAUGCUGGGGAAAAUCCGUAGGCGGUUGCUCAUGAACAUGGGACCUGUUGCAUGCAUCACGGGAGAACUGGACCGUUGUGGAUGCAGGAGAAUUAACCGAGCUUCUUCACUUGGAUGAUCGAGUCAAUCCGAACAGAAGAAAGCUUGGGACUUGAGUUUAUCCCGGGUUGAAGAGGAGGAAAUCCGAACAAGAUGAAGGCUGGAUGGAUCCGUGAGCAGGGGAUUUGAUGCGCUGGGAGAUUUCUAUGAAUCGUGGAUGCUGGGAAGCAAUCUGGGGUUUGGUUGACAGCUUGGUUUUGGACGGGCUCUGUUCCGUAGGAAGAGGAUGCUGGGAAAGUGGAGUUGAUCACGGAAAAGAUGAAGGAGUUGUUCGGAUGGGGUUAAAUGCGGAUGGUUUGCGAAUCUGUGUUGUACUCGGACGUGGAGGGAAUGCAGAGAAAUGGGUGGUUGCCGGCUUGGUGUGGGGUUUUGAGUGGCUGAUCACAAAUGGG